GUUAAUUUUGAGGUGCUAAACUAGCACCAACGUAGGUGUCAAAUCAGCACAAUGCAGUGGUGCUAAAUAGAAAGUGCUAUUUUGACACCAAUUUCGGCGCUAAUUUAACACCAUCAAAUCUGACAUUACGCUAAAAGUGCCAAUAUGACACCGUUUAAAUUCAGCACCAUUGUAAUGUGUUGAAAUAACACCUCUGUUGCCGACGGAAAGUGCUAAAAUAACGCUAUAUUGAGAGCUAAAGUACGGGGUGUCAAAAUAACACUAAAUGGCGGAUAGGAAAAAAGCGGUUCUUUAAGUAAUUAUUGGAAAAUAAGUCCGUAUUUUCGAUUCAGAUGUUUUGGAACAAGAAAUUCCUGUGCGUUUUGGCACAACUAUUCAUCUGAGUGAUCUGACGACAUGGAAAUUCGACUUGUUCUGAUACAAAAAAACCGAUAGAGACGAAUACUAGACAAAUGGUAGAUCGAUAGUAUCGAUAUUCGAUAGUGAUCCAUUGUCCUUUUCAUUUUAUCAAACUAUGUUAUUCCGGGCUAUAUUUUCGGACUGCCUAUGUAUUGAUUGCUACAAAGUAUUUAUUUCGCAAUCGCCUGCGCUAUAUGUAUGUCCAUAUAAGGAACAAAAUGUAACACGUGAUCAGCGCCUGUAUGCAAAUUUUUGAGCGCGUCGUUUGAAAACUCUUUUGAAACGUACUUCAUAGUUCAUACUGCCAUGUUGAAGACGUUUUGAGCGUAUUUUCUUAACUAUUUUGGUACUUCUGAAUAUGCUGAACAACAACGAACUCACAUAAGGAAAUAUCAAGACAAUUGGCUAUGACAUUAUCUCAGAAAUAUCUUGAGAAGCCAAAUGAAUUCUACUUUUAAUACUGCGAUGAUCUCUUUAGCAAUCUGGGUCAAAGAAAAUAUCAUUGCAAUAAUAGUUUUCACCAAGAGUGAACAAAGGCUUCAAUGUGGAAAAUUAAGGGGAAACUGUAAUUCUAAUGAUUGAUGAUUCACAAGGGAAUAAGGGAUAUUUACUGUCAACAAUGAAGUGUAUACAAUUAAUGUAUCCAACCAUGGAAGAAAAACGAAAUAUUUCACCUAUGAUAAUUUAGAAAUAUCCCUUCCUUGCUGACUCAAUUGUGGUGGAACAGGUUCAUGGAUCAUAACAAGGCCAAGGGUAGAAACAAUUUAACAAAAAUAUCCUGCACUCCAGCUUAUUACAGAGGUAAGUUUGCUUUUAGUUUACAGCAUUCAUAUUGAUAAGGUACCUGUUUGAUUGAUAUCAAGUGCUCUAUUUCAACACUUUGCUAUAAUUCUUGUUGAGAAACUAUCCAAACAGAUAAUUGACUGCCAAAUUUCUUUGUUCGACAUAAUACCCAUGUGUGCUAGUUGGCAACUUUUUAGUUAGCCUGUCAUAUUUCGUGUAAAAUUCUCAUUGAUAUUUUAGUUAAUUGACAGAGUAUGGGUUCUAAAUUACCAGUAAAAUAAUUUUCUUUCACAAUGUAUCUAGCAUACUGUAUUAAUUCUUUUUCAGGUAAAAACUGAAUUUUAAAGAGUAAACUACAAGUUGAUCCAUGAUAUGGUUGGCAAAUUUCAAUCCAUUGAUUCAGAAAAAUGUUUUGGACUAUGCCAAGAAAUGUAACAAGAAAACUACAUUGGUUCUUAUAAACAGAGUGGAGAGAGCAAUUGCUGGGAAAUCAGGUAAAUCAUGCAAUUAAUAAUAAUUUGUCAAAACCAAUUGAUAGCACAAUUACAAUAUUAUAGCAAUACAGGCUAUUGCUACAUGAAAUAUGGCCUAUUUAGAAUCUAUCUAUAUUGAUAAACAAUUUUUUUAACAGACAUCAAGAGCAGAGUUGCUUAGAUUUUGAAGGAACUAUUGAAGGAGAAUGCAGGAGAAUCUCAGUCUCUCUUCUUUAAGAUUUGUUCUGUUGUUGAUUCCAUAGAUCAGGAUAAUUGGUUCAGAAGACCUUUCAGAUGUUCAAACUUUGAUGAUUGCGGUGGAGGGGCAAAUGUUAACUUAUUCAAGAACAGACUCAACCUUAUUUUAUCUACUAAACAUGGAGUACAUUGCUGGUGUGGCAAAUGGAAACUGCUCUCGUCAGGAAGCCUUAGCCUUAGGACAAAAACUUUUAAAGGACGUUAAGUACCCUAGACAUUUUAUACACUCUUGUACAUAGAUUUUCCUGUCACAACAUAUGUAGAAAUAAAUAUUUUUAAAUCGCAUUUUGUCCACUUUGUAUGAUUAUAGCUUAUGCUAUUUAGUCGCUCCAUUGCUAGCGCUAAAAGUGCAAAAACUAAACCACACAAACUUCGGGUGUUAGAUUAACACCAUAAAUUGGCGUAAAAGUAGCACCAAAGAUCGUGCUAAUUUGACACCUUAUUUCGCGGUGUCAAUUUAGCACCCGAAAUGGUGUUAUUCUGUACCUUUUUAUCUGACACCUUUUUUGGUGUCAA
rnacentral:lncRNA from 1 species